CCCAAAAGAAAAGCAAAGAAAGAGAUUUAAAUCCUAACAAGACAAAAUACACGAUUCAAAUUCAAGAAAAUAAAAACAUGCUUGAGACAUCUCCCAAAAAUUUUCAGCAUUGGAUGGUUCUGAAGAACUCUAGAGCACAUUGAUCUUUGCUAUUUUUUUCCCCAGGCUAUGAGCUGUAUAUCUUACCUUGGAUGCUUUCAAUUGAGGUUACUGCAUUUACAACCAGACAAUAUAUGUAUUAGAGAUUUUAGACAUUCUUAUGGAAAUUUGUAAUCUAGUUUCCUAUGGCCAAGGGAUCUUUCGCCAGACCAAUUUUCCUGGGUGUUUUAGUCACAACGCACCUGCAAUUUAUCUUAAUUGCAAACAGAGCAUUUACAUUUUAGAAAAUGUUUGAUGUGCAGAACAGGGCAAAGAUUCAUAGAGAAUUGAGUCAUUUUAGUCCCCAAUUCAACAUGGGCGAGGACCAAGAAAUAUAGAUAAUUCGGUCAAUUUAGCCUGCUAUUCCACGUGGAAUCCUGUUUGCAAUAUGGGUUUGAUAUACAGGGCAAAUAUACAUGGAGAAUUGAGUCAUUUCAGUCCCCAAUUCCACGUUUGAUCUGCAGAAGAGGGCCAAGAAAUAUAGAGAAUUCAGUCAAUUUAGCCUGCUAUUCAAUGUGGAAUCCUGUUUGCAAUACGGGUUUGAUCUACAGAAGAGAGCCAAGAUACAUGGAGAAUUUGGUCAUUUCAGUCUCCAAUUCCAUGUUUGAUUUGUUGCAGAGGACCAAGAGAUAUAAAGAAAUUGGUCAUUUUAGCCUGCUAUUCCACGUGGAUUUUAUAAUUCUGUUUGCAAUUUGGGUUUGAAUAUAUGGGUUCGCAAAAGAAGGCACGACAGGAUUAACAAAUAAAGAUUAGCAUCUGAUUCCAGGCUUGGUCUUACUUGAACCUUGCCUCAUCAACUUGGUACUCAACACUUAGCGCAUUGGAUCUUGUACUAACCCAAUUUCAACAUGUGAUCUUGUCUUGGCCUCAUAUAUUGGGUGUAUUGCACCAAGCAUGUUGGAUGCAAUAUUUACUCAAUUUUAACAUAUUACCAUGCCCCUUUGGGUUUGAACUUAGGGUUGGUGUAUGAAAACCCAUUUAUGUUUACCAUUUGAGCUCAUACUAUUUGAACUUAUUUCUGGCAAUUUUGUGUCAUUUCUGGGAAAUCUUAUUUGAGUUCUAACCUUCUCUUUUUUCC